CGGCAACAGCUCAAAUUUGAAAUCUGGCCUUCGGGUCCGAGUUGUAAUUUGCAGAGGAUGCUUCCGGCGCGGCGCCUUCCAAGUCCCCUGGAACGGGGCGCCAUAGAGGGUGAGAGCCCCGU
rnacentral:rRNA from 1 species